CCCAGCAGCCAUAUCACCCUGCAGCUCACAACUAGCAGCCCACUGCAGCUCAGCAGGUGUGAGCCUGGUCAGUACCUGGAUGGGAGACCUUCUAGGUAAACUAUGGCUGCUGCUGGAA
rnacentral:rRNA from 1 species